rnacentral:lncRNA from 1 species
GGACCCGCCCUCCGGUGCCUACUGAGCUGAUAUCAGUUCUCAUUUCACACACUGGCUCAGUUCAGCAGGAACAGGAGUCGAGCCCUUGAGCAAAAAGCCUACCCAUCUGACAGAUCACAGUGAGAUUCUCUUUCAUACACCUUCUCCUAGCCCUGGUGGGGCCAGGACUGCAUUGACCCUGGACAUCAAAGGGAAGAUUAUGUGGCUGCUAAGGCCAUCAGCCCACAGCAGCGGUUGGUCCAGCUUGGGCUUCUGGCUCCCAGAGCCCGGGCUCCCGUGGCAUAUAUAAAAGGCGGAGCCUCAUAAACUGUUGCACCUGGCAGCUGCCUUUGUCCCCAGUCCUAGAGACCGAGUCUACACACUGGAAUUGAGCUGUGACUUGAAGGCAGUCCUUCAAAAGAAUGAAGGAUACCCUCCCCUAGGCAGAUGGAGAACCGACUGCCUGCUUCCUGUGAUUGCAAGCACUAGCUGCCAUGCUCUGGGACUGCAGAAUCACAUGACACCUCCUGUGGCUGGCCCCCAAGGACUCUGCAGAGACCCUUUGAUGUGUUCAGUCAAUAGAGCAUUCCUGUUUUUGAAAAUGCAGGGAAGCCUAAGAUGUCUUAAUAAAGUACCGGAUUUGCUGGUGUUCC